UCUUGUUUGAAAUUUUCAGUUCUCUUUAUCUUCCCAGUACCUCUUGGUCCUCAUAAUGGGCAAAGGAUACAACGAAGGCAGGUUGUAUAGGGGUUAUAGUGGGGAAGUGGAUAGGGGAUUCAUUUUCUUAUGUGACAUUUUGCCUUAAGAAUAUAAAAGUGCUUUAGCACUGAUGGCUGGCAUUUUUAAUAUAGGCAGUGAAAGUGACUUUAGAAGCAUGGGAUGAAAUAGAGGGAAGAAGAGUUUUUAUUUUCUGGCCUUUAAAAAGUGCCUAGUAGGUCAUUUGAGACCCAGAGAAAUGCACAGAGCUUGAGCAAAGGCAUGAAGUCCCUGACAUUGUUUUCCUUUUUGUCUCAGCAUAUAGUAUUAAGAUGCCUAGAAAUAGGACUCUAUUGUUCCCUCUUGUAUAGGCACUUUACAUUUCUUGUCACUACAGCAACCACAUACAGUACAGACAACCUCCAAACCUGUUUAUAUUAGUGUAAAUAGAAAAUCUAUAGACAACUUUCUAGUUUUCUCUGGAGGCAUUUUUGGGAAUGUACGUGUAAUAGGCUCUGCUUUGUAUACAGGAGAUAAUACCACAUCAUCGGUUAUCUCCAAACUCCAGUCUUCUCUCAACUGCCCAGUUGUAUGUUGUCAUCAAUCACUUUUUCAAGGCUGGGUAGAGACAAGUUUCUCCUCGUAACUUUGACCUCUCCCACUCUCCAAAUGUAAUCUGGACCUCAUUGCUUUCAAGGUCAGCUUCCCCAUAGCUCAGGUAUCCUUUGCUCUCCUGUAUCUUCAUUUACUAUUAGUGAAGAGAUCUCUGUCCUGGAGGUUAUUCUAAACUUUCUUUGUAACUAUUGUUAUAGACAAUGGUUUCCAAACCAGUGGUUUCUAUGUAGCUUUUCUAGUUCCUUGCUAUCUUCUCACCACUGGCUUGAGGUAGUGAUUUGGACUUUGCUCAUUAGAGAGCAUUAUCAGAGAUGUGGAGUCCAUCAGAAGACCAGCUUGCAGUGUGUAUAGCAUAUAGAUGCCAAUAUUAGAAUUCUUUAAAUUAUAUUUAACAUUUUCAUGCUUCUUAAUUUAACUUCACAUGUUGGGAAGUAGAUUCAGAAAGAUAGGAGAAAUACCCAGACUCUACCACUUCCGUGAGCUACUAGUUAGGCAUGGGCAGGAUUAAGUUUUAUGUGUAUUAUCUUCCCACUACCAAGAAUGGUUAUGUUUCACAGAAUACCAGUUCAGUUUGAUUUGGAAAAAGAUGCCAAACCAAAUUUAUAUGUAGUCUAUAAUCUAAGGGCAUUCUUGAAACUAUUGCCCACAUCCCAUUUUUUUUUUCAUGUUUACUUACAAAACAGAGAUAAACAUUAGAUGUCUAAAGGAGUUAGUAAUGAAAAG
rnacentral:lncRNA from 1 species